rnacentral:rRNA from 1 species
AGGACGAACGCUGGCGGCGUGCUUAACACAUGCAAGUCACGGGGGCUCCGCAAGGAGUAACCGGCGAACGGGUGCGUAACACGUGAACAACCUGCCCUCGUGUGGGGGAUAGCCGGGCUAACGCCCGGGUAAUACCGCAUACGUUCUCUUGGGGGAGUCCCCGAGGGAGGAAAGCCCGUGGCAACACGGGCGCACGGGGAGGGUUCGCGGCCUAUCAGCUUGUGGCGGGUAAUGGCCCACCAAGGCGACGACGGGUAGCUGGUCUGAGAGGAUGGCCAGCCACAUUGGGACUGAGAGACGGCCCAGACUCCUACGGGAGGCAGCAGUGGGGAAUCUGCGCAAUGGCCGAAAGGCUGACGCAGCGACGCCGCGUGUGGGAGGACGCCUUUCGGGGUGUAAACCACGUGUUGCCCGGGACGAACAGCCCUUUUCGAGGGUCUGACGGUACCGGUGAGGAAGCGACCGGCUAACGUCCGUGCCAGCCAGGCCGC